GGGCGAUUAGCUCAGCUGGGAGAGCAACUGCCUUACAAGCAGUGGGUCGGCGGUUCGAUCCCGUCAUCGCCCA
rnacentral:tRNA from 1 species